rnacentral:misc_RNA from 1 species
GCGAGGAGCUUUCUGAACUCAGCCGAGAUGCGCAAAGUACAUUCUUGCAUAAUAAACAGUGUAAUGUUGCACAUGUGGAAGAACGGUGCAAAAUGGUAUUUCUACGGACUACACUGGUAGUUCCGGUUUGAACUAGUAUGUGAAGAGAUGUCGUACAUGUUCGCUAACAGUUAGUUGUUGUGUUUAAUCUUUGUGUCGUGAAGAAUCAAUGAUUGUUGAAUUAUCAUAAUCAUUGCUGGUGUUCUUAGGAUUUUGGCAACUUUGAAUUAUGCAGUUUUAUAAGGAAAAGCUCUUGUCGCCCGGACAACUGAAACGUCUGAGUGAGCACAAGUACAGCUGUACAACGAAUAGCCUUUUGGAUGGACUUCUUCAACCGUGGUGGGACUGGCUCGUUAGCAAAGUUCCACUUUGGCUUGCGCCCAAUUUAAUCACAAUUUUGGGGCUUAUUGUGAACAUCAUUACAACUUUAAUUCUUGUUUAUUAUAGUCCUGAUGCUAAAGCUGAGGCACCAAGGUGGGCAUGUUUUUUAUGCGCACUUGGUUUAUUCAUUUAUCAAAGCUUGGAUGCCAUAGAUGGCAAACAAGCUAGAAGAACAGGAACUUCUACACCAUUGGGUGAACUUUUUGAUCAUGGAUGUGAUUCCAUAUCAACUGUGUUCGUUGCUCUAUCAGCCUGUAUAGCAGUACAAUUAGGGUAUUAUCCAACAUGGAUGUUUUUCCAAUGUUUCUGUGCAAUGACACUUUUUUAUUGUGCUCAUUGGCAGACAUAUGUUUCAGGUUCAUUAAGAUUUGGCAAGGUAGAUGUAACGGAAGCACAGUUCACUAUUAUAACAAUUCAUCUCAUUUCUGCAGUCUUUGGGCCCAGAGUAUGGAUGAUGGAGAUACCAUACAUAGAUGGUUUUAUGUUUAAGUAUUUAAUAGGAGUUAUGACAGUAAUUUGUGCACUGGCAAACUUAUAUUCUAUCUUUUCGGUGAUUUUCACCGGAGGAGUGGGCAAGAAUGGUUCAACUGUGGCUAUACCAGUGCUCGGUGUAGGCACAAUCAGUAACUACGUAGCAGUGUUAUUUUAUGCAGGCUACAUUCAUGUAUUCCUUGAAUUCUGUAAAGUGUUUGAAUCUGGUGGGAUUGGAAAGAAUGGUUCCACAAUUGCAGGAACAUCAGUUUUAUCUCCAAUUAUUCCAUUUAGUUUUGUGGUAGUACCAGCUUUUAUAAUUUAUAGAAAAAGUGCUGAACACGUAUAUGAAAAUCAUCCUGCACUGUACAUACUUGCAUUUGGAAUGGUUGCAGCUAAAGUUACCAACCGAUUAGUGGUUGCUCAUAUGACAAAAAAUGAAAUGCAAUAUUUAGACAGUUCAUUGAUUGGACCAGCGAUGCUGUUCCUGAAUCAAUAUUUCAACUUCUUUAUCAAAGAAUAUUAUGUUCUUUGGUUGUGCUUUAUUUGGGUAACUCUGGAUUUGCUCCGAUAUAGUGCUCAAAUUUGCCUUGAGAUUUGUGAUCACAUGAAAAUCAAACUGUUUAGGAUAUCCUUAGCAGAUCAUCGAGCGAGCCAGGUUUCUAAUACAGCUGAAAAAAAUGGUUCCAAAUAUUUCUGGAAGUUUCUUUUAGGUGUUAUAUUGCAGUCUUGAUCUCAUAGAGUAUUUGAAUUCAUUAGUAACAUCGAAAUUAGAGAAAAUGCAGUUUUGAUUUAUAAUCAAUAUGUAUAUAGUUAUAUACUAUAAAUAUCUCAGUAUAUUUCCAUAGUCAAUUAUAAACAUAAAUUAUCUAUAAUGUAAGUAAACUACCAAAGAUAGUUACUUUGAGUUCAAGUGACACUGAUCUAUGGAUUUUCGGUAUUUUUGCUUUUGAAACAUUUUAUCUUUAACUUAACAAAUAAUUACAAGGAAUUGAAGGAUGUUGUUGGUUAACAAAUUAUGAUAAUUGUGUGUUCUAAUACUUUCUUUUAUCGAACCUUUAUUCGUAGUGGACAAAGAAUUGCAAACGAAAAGUAUAUAGCAUAGGAAAUUUCGCAUGAUGGUGGAAC